CUCCUCUAUGCCUCACCCACCGCCGCACCGCGGGCCCCACAGUGGGUACCCGGGGAGCGCUGCUCCCCGCGAUGUCCGCGGGCUGCAGGGGGAUGACCCGCUCCUCCGUGGGCCUCUCCUGGGUUGCAGGGAGCUGCUGCUACGUGCCUCCUGCCGCUCUGACCUCGGAGCCUGCAGGGCCGUUCCUCGCACAUUUCUCACCCCCGUCUCCCAACUGCGGCUGCACGGCAGUUUCCAUUCAAUAACUGCGCUCUCCCAGCGUUGCUCACGGCUCAGCUCCUGGGCCCUGCUCACACAGGCCUCCCCAGCUAUGAAUACCUUGCCACAUUGAAUCUGUUGUGGAAGUUGGAGUGUAACUAUUUGUGUUUCACAUCUGAUGGAUGUCUUCAGUUUAUCUGCUCUCCAGAAGACUUCCGGAAGACACAAGUUUUGUUCUUAACAUCAAUUUUGGUAGCCAGCAGAAGAAUGAAUAUGUUAAAAUCUUAAGCAAAUCAAAUCCAGUUACAAGAUGAGAACAAUGCUGCAAAGAACUUUUUACUUGGAGUUUUCAUUAGAAGGCUCCAGCUAACACCAUGAGGUGGUCUCUGGCCAAUCUGAGAGCCAGGAUGGUGGGAAGAAUUUGAACCAGUGCUUCAGAGAAAGAACCCUGUUCCUACAGUUUAGCAUCUCUGUCUACUUUUGCAAGUAAGAGCAAUAUAUGAGAAAAUGAAAAUUGCUGUAGUGCAUUACGUGAGUAGUCAGUUCUUGAAUGUUCUUCAAUACAAAACUUGGAUUUCUUUUUGAACUUCGUACAGAAACUAUUAUAAGAAUUGUAACUAGUUAUUGCAUAGCACUGCUAUGCAACAUUUUAAAGUAUACACAACUUAAUAAUAAACAUCCUUUGAAAGACAAAUUUAGAGUGGUUUGAUAUACUCUGUUCUUGGUGGUAGCUGGGUGCCAGACACAUGCCUCAGAUGCCAGUCCUUUAAGAUCCAUUACUGUCCCCCAAAAGAGCAGUUAUUACCAUCCACCCCUUCUUCCUAUCUCUACUGGCAGCUGCUAUCUUUGGGUGGAUGUCAGACAAAUACACAAAGAAGCAUUCAUCUACUGCAACAACAUUUAUUGUUUCGAGUGCCCUUUUUUUGCCUCUAGGUAGAAGACUAAAUGGCAAUGUCCUCAGAGCCAAAUUCAGCCUUAGAGUCUCAGCCAGAUCACACUGGAAUAGAUCACAGUAAUAUAUGCCUUUGUGUCUUUGAGCAGGCAGAUAAAAUCACACCUCAGUUGUAAACUUGAACAUGAAUGGAUACAAAUAGAAUGGUUAUCAAUUUCCCAAUUCACAAGGUAUUAAAUAUAGCACUUGGGGCUACUUGAAGAAUUUAACUUCCUGACAUUCAAGGAUGCUUGGAUGCGAGUCUGGGUACUGUGUUAUUUCUGCUUACAAUCUCACAAACAAAGGUUAAGAAAGGGUCUCUGUCUCCAGGGAGCUCGAAGUCACAGCAAUAUUCCUACUGUUUACAUGAAUUGCUAAUGCCAAUUUAUAAAUCUCUCUCUUGUGUCUAUGCCAAAUAGCUAAUAAUGGCACUCUGAACCUGUUGAGCUUUCUGAUAAUUAAGAAAACCAAACAGACUGUGCUUAAAAUGAAGCUCCUGUUUCCUAUGGUAGUAUAUUCAAAGACUGCAGGGAUUUCCCCCCUCCUUCCUCGUGAGCAGCAGGCAACCUCUCCAUUACAGCUGGAAGCCUCAAACAGCAGUACAGGUAAAACGCUAGCUAUUGUGAAAAACAAGUUCCUGGCUCUUGAUUAACAGCUGGAUUUGCUCCCCUCUUUGCUUGCCCAACCAGAUAACUAUGGGAAUGUCAGAGACAGUUUGCAAAAGAAAACAUAAUGUGCAUAGCAUGAUGUCAGAAAUAAGAUAGAGUUAUUAAACUUCAGUUUAACACAGACAAGGGAAUCACUGCUACACAGACAGUUCUGAGGCAUAUAACAGGUUUUCAGUCCUGACUGAGACUGAAGAAAUGGUAGACACCGAGGCAAGUUAUGUAACAAUUUCUCAGAAUCCUAGAAUCGUUUAAGGGGCCUUUAAAGGUUAUCUAGUCCAACUCCCUGUAGUGAACAGGGACACCGACUAGAUCAGGUUGCUCAGAGCUCUGUCCAGUCUAAACCCUGCAUGUCCCCAGAGACAGGGCUGCCACUACCUCUUUGUGCAACCAGUUUCAGUGCCUUAUUGUAAAAAACCUUCUUUCUUAUAUCCAGUCUAAGUCUCCCCUCUUUUAGUUUGAAAUAAUUUCCACUUGUCCUAUCACAACAGACCCUGCUAAGGCACUGCUAAAGGGUCUGUCCCCUUACUUCUCACAGCCCCCCUUUAGAUACUGAAAGGCUGUUCUCAGGUCUCCCCAGAGGCAUCUCUUCUCCAGGCUGAACAGCCCCAGCUCUCUCAGCUUGUCCUCACGGGGAGGUGUUCCAUUCUUUGGAUCAUUUCUGUGGCCCUUCUCUGGACCCUCCAACAGGUCCACAUCUCUCUUGUACUGAGGAGCGUGUCCACACCUGGACAUGCUAUUCCAGGUAAGAUCUCAGCAGUGUAGAGUAGAGGGGCAGGAUCACCUCCCUUGACCAGCUGAUCACACUUCUUUUGAUGCACCUCAGGAUACAGUUGGCUUUCUGGGCUGUGAGGGCCCAGUGCUGGCUCAUGUCCAGCUUCCCAUCCAUCAGUACCCCCAAGUCCUUUUCUGCAGGGCUGUCCUCCAUUCCUUCACUGCCAUCUUGUACUGAUAGAGGAGGUUGCCUUGACCCAGGUGCAAGACCUUGCACAUGGCUUCAUCGAACCUCAUGAGGUUGACCUGGGUCCACUGCUUACAGCUGUCUAGGUCCCUCUGGAUGGCAUUCUAUCCCUCAGAUGUGCUGACUGUACCACACAGCUUGGCAUCUUCCACAAUCUUGCUGAGGGUGCACUUGAUCCUACUGUUCAUGUAAUGGAUGAAGAUAUUAAACAGCACUCAUCCCAGUUCUGAUCCCUGAGGGACACCGCUUACUACUGAUCUCCAUCCAGAUACUGAGCCACUGAUUCUUAGGACAGAGAACAAUUUUAGUUCUCUGUAAGACAAAAGUACUUGGAUUUUUUUGUGUGUAGUUAUAAACUGCUGCAAGGAAAGAAAUACAGCGUAGUUAAAUGCAUACCAUUUGAUGAAACAAAUAAUUUUGAAAACUGUCACUGCAGCCAAUUUUUGGAGAAGCUAUAAAUGAACUGCUGUAGUUUGUUACAGGCUGUCACCUGACAGCAGAAUAGGAAGGCACUCUAAAUCCACAGUAAGCCAAGGCAGGGGAGAUGAGUUACAAACCACGGACAGAAAUCUUGGGAGAUGGUUGUGGAAGCAAUGCCAAGUACCCUAGUGCUGGAAAGUUUAUAACCUGUGGCUAAAAUGUAUCCAAAAAGAGGCCUGUAAAUACACAUUGUCAGUAUGUAUCUUAACAAAGCAAUACUGCUGUAUCUUAAAAAAAGUGCUGGACAACAGCCACGAUCAGGCUGGUAAAGAGUUACCCUGGAUACCUGGAGGCCUAUCCAAAAAUGAAACACACUGAUUGAUACCCUGUCCCUCAUAAUCUAUCUGUGCUAUUCAGCAUUUACAGCUGCUUUAGGAUCCACUGAACUCACUCUACUUUGUUCAGGUCUCCUCUGGCCCCCGCGAAGCAGCAUUCUGCCAGACACACGCAGCGUUUUAUGAGAGCUCACGGAUGCCAUCAGAGUCGCGUCGCUGCGCUCGACUGCGAGCUGCCCAGCGCCCCGCCGAGCGGCGGAGGAAUUUAUCGCAGCGCUCGCACCCCGUGCCCCUUCCAGGGAGCCCGAGCGUCGCGGCCAGGACCACCCGCAGCCCCGGCCUCCCACCCCGCCCAAGGCCGCGAGGCACACG
ensembl:lncRNA